GUUAGGAAUAUUGGACAAUGGGGGAAACCCUGAUCUAGCCAUGCCGCGUGAUCGAUGAAGGCCUUAGGGUUGUAAAGAUCUUUCAGCUGGGAAGAUAAUGACUGUACCAGCAGAAGAAGCCCCGGCUAACCCCGUGCCAGCAGCCGCGGUAAUACGGAGGGGGCUAGCGUUGUUCGGAAUUACUGGGCGUAAAGCGCACGUAGGCGGACCAGAAAGUCAGGGGUGAAAUCCCGGGGCUCAACCCCGGAACUGCCUUUGAAACUCCUGGUCUUGAGGUCGAGAGAGGUGAGUGGAAUUCCGAGUGUAGAGGUGAAAUUCGUAGAUAUUCGGAGGAACACCAGUGGCGAAGGCGGCUCACUGGCUCGAUACUGACGCUGAGGUGCGAAAGCGUGGGGAGCAAACAGGAUUAGAUACCCUUGUAGUCC
rnacentral:rRNA from 1 species